AAGGCUAGAAUUUCACCAUGUAAAAGAAUUCCCAUAUAUAAUUGGUUGUAUUUAUUACACCCAUAUAAAAUUUAAAAAUAUGGUUGUGAUGCAGCCUAAUAUUAUAUAGAAAAGGAUAUUAUUCCCUCAAUGUUGUUGUUCAGGUGACUUGUGAUGCUAAUCUUCAGAUCAGAGAUAUUGUUAGAUGGCAAAGCAGCACUCAUAACUCCCGGAUAUUGCAACAAGAACUUUGGUGUGUGGAAACAGCAUUUUCAAUGUCUGUUCCAUAGCAUAUCUAAAAUUUGGCAAUGUGAAGACUACUAUUAUGGCUCUUGCAGUGUUGCACAACAUUGCAAUUGCUCAAAGAGAGAUAUAUGCCACAGAAAAGUGUGUCCGAUACUGAAGAGGUGUCAGAAUCAACUAUAAUUAUCAUCAUUGACCCAAAAUCUAGACUAAUGUUGUUCACACUGAAAGGUGGAGGUGGAUUAUAGUAUACUAAUGCAUCAUAUGCAUGCCUUAAUCUGUGUACUGAACAAAUUUUACAUCAUAUUUGAUUAUAUGUUAACUUGUCAUAAGAGCCUUUUAUAUGCCUACGUGAUAAAUAAAGGUUUUUAUUUAUUUUAUUUGUUAUUUUAAUCAAUAAAGACCUCAAAAAUAUUUUUUACUUUUGACCUACCUAAUACAACAGUAUCCCUACAUGAUUAUAGCAUAAAACGGAUACAUACAUAUCUC